rnacentral:rRNA from 1 species
UACGUAGGGUGCAAGCGUUGUCCGGAAUUAUUGGGCGUAAAGAGCUCGUAGGCGGUCUGUCACGUCGGCUGUGAAAACCCGAGGCUCAACCUCGGGCCUGCAGUCGAUACGGGCAGACUAGAGUUCGGUAGGGGAGACUGGAAUUCCUGGUGUAGCGGUGAAAUGCGCAGAUAUCAGGAGGAACACCGGUGGCGAAGGCGGGUCUCUGGGCCGAAACUGACGCUGAGGCACGAAAGCGUGGGGAGCAAACAGG